UCCUACGGGAGGCAGCAGUAGGUAAUAUUGGGCAAUGGCCGAGAGGCUGACCCAGCCAUGCCGCGUGCAGGAAGAAGGCCUUCUGGGUUGUAAACUGCUUUUACCAGGGAAGAAAACGCUCCUGCGGGGGUAACUGACGGUACCUGGUGAAUAAGCACCGGCUAACUCCGUGCCAGCAGCCGCGGUAAUACGGAGGGUGCGAGCGUUGUCCGGAUUUAUUGGGUUUAAAGGGUGCGUAGGCGGCCCGUUAAGUCAGCGGUGAAAUCCCACGGCUCAACCGUGGAACUGCCGUUGAUACUGGCGGGCUUGAGUUCGGUCGAGGCGGGCGGAACUGGUGGUGUAGCGGUGAAAUGCUUAGAUACCACCAAGAACCCCGAUUGCGUAGGCAGCUCGCUGGGCCGAAACUGACGCUGAGGCACGAAAGCGUGGGGAGCGAACAGGAUUAGAUACCCUGGUAGUCCACGCCGUAAACGAUGAUGACUCGAUGUCGGCGACACACGGUCGGCGUCCAAGCGAAAGCGUUAAGUCAUCCACCUGGGGAGUACGCCCGCAAGGGUGAA
rnacentral:rRNA from 1 species